rnacentral:rRNA from 1 species
CCUACGGGACGCAGCAGUAGGGAAUCUUUCACAAUGGGCGAAAGCCUGAUGGAGCAACGCCGCGUGCAGGAUGAAGGCCUUCGGAUUGUAAACCUCUUUUGUCAGGGAGCAAAGGGCGCCACGUGUGGCGCUUCGCGAGUACCUGAAGAAAAAGCAUCGGCUAACUCCGUGCCAGCAGCCGCGGUAAUACGGAGGAUGCGAGCGUUAUCCGGAUUUAUUGGGUUUAAAGGGUGCGCAGGCGGAAUGUCAAGUCAGCGGUAAAAUUUCGGGGCUCAACCCCGUCGUGCCGUUGAAACUGGCGUUCU